rnacentral:piRNA from 1 species
AGAAAUGUUACGCCUGCCGAAGAGAAG